AAAAGUGGCAAAGAAGAGAGGGACACUGGAGGGAGAUAGGCGGCGUUCAUUGUUUUCAAAAUGAAUCGGUCACAACACAGUUCACCAGAAUGAUAGAUAGUGAGCGGAAAAAGAUCAGGUCAGCCGCACACUGGUGAUUGGGUGUGCAAUGACAGCAUACGAAUAGAGGAAAAAAAAACAAGAGGAAGAAGAUAAAGAAAAUUGAGUAUGAGUCGUCAGCAGCAGGAGUCCCAGGGAGUGGUUUUGACGGGUUACCAUAGCAACACCGAACUACUGCCGAAAAGCGGAAUAAUUGCAGCGGACACCGACCCAAUGCAUCCGAGAUGGCCUGUCCAGCUUGCUGGCAAAAAACAGCGUCACAUUACAGCCAGCCUUUGUGUGUGUGUGUGUGUGUGUGUGUGUCCUCUAUGUGUGAGUUUGUGUAUGUCCUCUGUGUGGAUGUGUUUGUUUUGUCUCCUUGAAGGCUUAGUUUUGUGGCACAUUGUUUCCACCUUACCGGACAUGAGAGACAUGGGUAGAGUGCCCCCAAACCCUCUGCUUACUGUGGUCUUCCUGCCUAACAUGUGGAGGAGGAGGAGGAGGAGGAGGAGGAGGAGGAGGCAGAGGAAGAGGAACUACAGUAGCCCAAGGAGAACUCUUGGUUCCCCUCUUGCUCAGUCGGAAAGAAUACCACCUCUUGUUGUUCCUUGUUUGUUACCGAAUGGUACGCAACGUUUAAAUCGAACCGCUUCAUUUUAUUUAGUUCUGCAUUCAAAUGAGUCACUGUUCAUCGUUGGUCCAUCUCCAGAAAUAAUUACAGCAGUUGCCGUAGCAACAUUGCUCUUACUGUGGUAUCAUUCCAAAGCGGUUUGGCCGUUACCACGUCGUUCCCCAGCAUCUGUCUAACGCUGGACGCUCGCUCGCACAGCAGUGCUAAGUGGAUUCACAGAGCUAUGGCACUUUAACUGUGAACCUGAGUGGAACGGCUGCAUGUUCACAUCCUGCGCUUGUCCAUGCUGGGUAACAAACAGCCUCAAGCGAAUAACUGUAUGACAGGCCCUUUCCCCUCCAUGUGAGGAUAACAUAACGAUUUUGUGUGUAGGAUUCAGUCCGGUAUUGGUCAGUUGAGGCAGAGGCUCCAGAAAGAUGGGCUACAUCAACAUUUAUGGCGUUUAAGCUUGUAAACGUCAGAGAUAUGCUGCACGUGUGGGCACUGCAAGAUCUUGUUUUCACGACGGCAGACACCAUUUGUGUGUGUGUGUGUGUGUGUGUGUGUGUGUGUGUGUG
ensembl:lncRNA